rnacentral:rRNA from 1 species
UACAGAGGGGGCAAGCGUUGUUCGGAAUUACUGGGCGUAAAGGGCGCGUAGGCGGCCUGCUAAGUCGAACGUGAAAUCCCUGGGCUCAACCCAGGAACUGCGUCCGAUACUGGUUGGCUUGAAUCCGGGAGAGGGAUGUGGAAUUCCAGGUGUAGCGGUGAAAUGCGUAGAUAUCUGGAGGAACACCGGUGGCGAAGGCGGCUCACUGGACCGGAACUGACGCUGAGGCGCGAAAGCAUGGGGAGCGAACAGG